rnacentral:rRNA from 1 species
UACGUAGGGGGCGAGCGUUGUCCGGAAUUACUGGGCGUAAAGGGCGCGUAGGCGGCCACCGCAAGUCGACUGUGAAAUCUCCGGGCUUAACCCGGAAAGGUCAGCCGAUACUGCGGGGCUAGAGUGCAGAAGGGGCAACUGGAAUUCUCGGUGUAGCGGUGAAAUGCGUAGAUAUCGAGAGGAACACCUGCGGCGAAGGCGGGUUGCUGGGCUGACACUGACGCUGAUGCGCGAAAGCUAGGGGAGCGAACGGG